UGUCCAUGUAGAUUCUCAUUCAUCCAGGGCAUGGUUAUCUUGAAGACUUAAAAACAGGCAACUGGACUGUGUAGAGUUGAGAAGACAUUUCGCCUCUUAUCCAAGAAGCUUCUUCAGUUCUAAAAGUGCUAGUGUCAGGAGCAGAUAUUUAUCUUUCUGGAGAAGGGGGACAGUUAACGACUGGGUGGAGUUGAAAAGAAUGGGUCGUAGAAACCCAUCUCUCGGUGUGUCCCCCCCCAAGUCGUUAUCCUGAAAGGGUCGUUAGCGACUCCUAUCAUGUGACCACAUGACUCAUGCCACCUGAGUCAUGUGGUUCCAGGUGUGAAUGUUUGUGGAGCUUCCUGGGGAGAGAGCUGAGAACUGCAUUGUAAAUGCCAGAGAGAUUGUGCCUGAGUCCACCCCCUCUGUUCAGAGAAGGUUUCUCCAGCCUGGUAAAGAUGGCUUCUUUAACUCCUCUUUCAAACCAUCUGUCUUCUCGAGCCAACACCUGUACAUCGCUGUCCUCAAAAGAGUGACCCGUAUCCUUCAAGUGAAGGUGGACAGCUGAGUCCUGACCUGAGGAAGUGGCUCUCCUGUGUUGAGCCAUGCGCUUGUGAAGUGGUUGUUUAGUUUCCCCAAUGUACAGGUCUGAGCAUUCCUUGCUGCACUGGACAGCAUAUACCACAUUACUCUGUUUAUGUCUAGGAGUUUUGUCCUUGGGAUGGACUAGCCUCUGCCUUAGUGUGUUACCAGGCUUGAAAUGAACAGGAAUGUGGUGUUUGCCAAAGAUCCUCUUGAGUUUUUCCGACAGGCCUGCAACGUAAGGGAUUACAGUGCUCUUGCGUCUCUCCUCCCUUUCCUGUUCAGUGUUAUUUCUCUUUCUGUUCUUCACAAAGGCCCACUUAGGGUAUCCACAGGUUGUCAGGGCAUUUUUGAUGUGCUUCUGUUCCUUUUCCUUACCUUCUUUCUUCGUGGGAAGAAAGUAAGAUAAAUAUCUGCUCCUGACACUAGCACUUUUAGAACUGAAGAAGCUUCUUAGAUAAGAGGCGAAACGUCCUCUCAACUCUACACAGUCCAGUUGCCUGUUUUUAAGUCUUCAAGAUAACCAUGACCUGGAUGAAUGAGAAUCUACAUGGACAUAUUGGAUCACACUUUGGGUCGGAUACCCUUCAGCUGGUCCGGGAGCACGAGAAAACUUGCAGGAAGAUGGCGGAUUACAGAAACCACCUCCGCUUCAACCUAAGAUGCAGACAGCAAGGACUUGUUCCCAAAAGCCUACACUUGUUUUCCACCGUUAAAGGGCACAGAGCAGACAGCAUCCUUUGCAGGACACAGAAGCAGCUCCUCAAUGAAAGGAUUAGGCAGGUUAACUUCACCAUCGAGGCCUUACAAGAUAAAAUAUAUCACACCAAGGAGACACUGGCAUCCCGACUUCCAGAGGACAUCCUCAACAAAGUCCACAACUUUGUUGACAAGGCUCAGAACUCUCAACACAACAAAGGCAAGAUAAGGCAAACACAGAAAUUUGACAGACUGCUCUCCAAGCACUCAAAGAGUCCAUCAGAACUUGGUUGGAGGGACAAAACGGACAGCCACAUAGAUACCAACAUGCAAGAAAAGUGGGUGAAGAAUUUGUCAGACAGGGUCCUCACUCAGCCGGAAAAGGAAGUCCUUUACAAAGGACUUAAUUUUGCAGUUACCCCUGAACAGAUCCCGGUGGUAGACCUUAUCACAGCCACGGAGUCAGCGAUCCGCAACAACAAUCUAGCGGUCACAGAGGCAGAACAACUUAGGUUGAAGGUAACAGCUGCUCUCUCGAAUGCCAAAACACCUCCUUCCAACCUGACCAUGCAGGAAAGAAGAGCCUUGGCAUCACUGCAAAAAGAUGAAAACAUCACCAUCCUGCCUGCAGAUAAGGGGAGAUGCACUGUGGUACUCAACACCAGGGAUUACCAUGACAAGGUAACAAGCCUUCUCAGUGACACUGCCACCUAUGAAACUCUUAAACGGGAUCCCACCAACAGCUAUAAAAAGAAAGUUAUCAGUGCACUUCAACAGCUUGAAAAGGAUGGAGUUAUCGACCGCCCACUCUAUUACCGACUGUACCCAGGGGAAGCUGUCCCGUGCAUUUAUGGAUUACCAAAAAUACACAAGGAAGGGGCGCCCCUUAGACCUAUCAUCAGCAGCAUUAACUCAGUCACAUACAAAGUGGCAAAACAUUUGGCCACCAUCCUAGCUCCUCUUGUCGGCCACACCACUCACCAUGUCAGAAACUCACAGGACUUUGCUGAGAAAAUCAAGGACAUCAGGUUGGACCCAGAUGAAACCAUGGUUUCCUAUGAUGUCACAUCACUUUUCACAAGUAUUCCAACAACAGAGGCAGUCCAAGCAGUAAGACAACGCCUCUCACAGGACAGCACACUGGAAGUCAGAACCAACUUAACCCCGGACCACAUCUGCUCCUUAUUGGACAUCUGCCUCAGCACCACCUAUUUCCAGUUCAGAGAGCGCCAUUACAGACAGAAACACGGAUUCGCGAUGGGCUCCCCGGUUUCUCCAAUAGUGGCAAACCUGUACAUGGAAGAGGUAGAGAGGAAGGCCCUAACCUCUUUCAAGGGAGCCGCUCCUAGCCACUGGUUCAGAUAUGUGGAUGACACCUGGGUUAAGAUCAAAACACAUGAAGUAGAGGCCUUCACUGACCAUAUCAACACAGUGGACAGCAACAUCAAGUUCACCCGUGAAGAUGUCAAGGACAAAGUGUUGGCCUUUUUGGACUGUGCUGUACACUUGGAGGCAGAUGGGUGUCUCAACUUUGAAGUGUACAGGAAACCAACACACACAGAUCAAUAUCUACUUUUUGAUUCCCACCAUCCUCUGCAGCACAAACUGGGUGUCAUCAGAACACUCAACCACCGGGCCGAGAACAUUCCCACGAAGAAAGAAGGUAAGGAAAAGGAACAGAAGCACAUCAAAAAUGCCCUGACAACCUGUGGAUACCCUAAGUGGGCCUUUGUGAAGAACAGAAAGAGAAAUAACACUGAACAGGAAAGGGAGGAGAGACGCAAGAGCACUGUAAUCCCUUACGUUGCAGGCCUGUCGGAAAAACUCAAGAGGAUCUUUGGCAAACACCACAUUCCUGUUCAUUUCAAGC